rnacentral:sRNA from 2 species
UUGACUCAUGAAUGAGAAUUGUUAUUAUUCACUCAACUGAUCGCGAGAUCAGUCGAUAAGCUCAAGAGACUCUCAUCAGGCUCUUCAGGUUAUCUCCUCAUCAGGCUAAUCACGGUUAUUGACCCGGCUAACACCCGGGUCUUUUUUUG